GAUGAAGAACGCAGCGAAAUGCGAUAAGUAAUGCGAAUUACAGAAUUCAGUGAAUCAUCGAAUCUUUGAACGCACAUUGCGCCCCUUGGUAUUCCAUGGGGCAUGCCUGUUCGAGCGUCAUUUGUACCUUCAAGCUCUGCUUGGUGUUGGGUGUUUGUCUCGCCUCUGCGUGUAGACUCGCCUCAAAACAAUUGGCAGCCGGCGUAUUGAUUUCGGAGCGCAGUACAUCUCGCGCUUUGCACUCAUAACGACGACGUCCAAAAGUACAUUUUUACACUCUUGACCUCGGAUCAGGUAGGGAUACCCGCUGAACUUAAGCAUAUCAAUAAGCGGAGGA
rnacentral:misc_RNA from 1 species